GAUGAACGCUGACGGCGUGCCUAAUACAUGCAAGUCGAGCGAAUGGAUUAAGAGCUUGCUCUUAUGAAGUUAGCGGCGGACGGGUGAGUAACACGUGGGUAACCUGCCCAUAAGACUGGGAUAACUCCGGGAAACCGGGGCUAAUACCGGAUAACAUUUUGAACCGCAUGGUUCGAAAUUGAAAGGCGGCUUCGGCUGUCACUUAUGGAUGGACCCGCGUCGCAUUAGCUAGUUGGUGAGGUAACGGCUCACCAAGGCAACGAUGCGUAGCCGACCUGGGAGGGUGAUCGGCCACACUGGGACUGAGACACGGCCCAGACUCCGACGGGAGGCAGCAGUAGGGAAUCUUCCGCAAUGGACGAAAGUCUGACGGAGCAACGCCGCGUGAGUGAAGAAGGCUUUCGGGUCGUAAAACUCUGUUGUUAGGGAAGAACAAGUGCUAGUUGAAUAAGCUGGCACCUUGACGGUACCUAACCAGAAAGCCACGGCUAACUACGUGCCAGCCGCCGCUGUAA
rnacentral:rRNA from 1 species